GAUGAACGCUGGCGGCGUGCCUAAUACAUGCAAGUCGAGCGAACGGACGAGAAGCUUGCUUCUCUGAUGUUAGCGGCGGACGGGUGAGUAACACGUGGAUAACCUACCUAUAAGACUGGGAUAACUUCGGGAAACCGUAGCUAAUACCGGAUAAUAUUUUGAACCGCAUGGUUCAAAAGUGAAAGACGGUCUUGCUGUCACUUAUAGAUGGAUCCGCGCUGCAUUAGCUAGUUGGUAAGGUAACGGCUUACCAAGGCAACGAUGCAUAGCCGACCUGAGAGGGUGAUCGGCCACACUGGGACUGAGACACGGUCCAGACUCCUACGGGAGGCAGCAGUAGGGAAUCUUCCGCAAUGGGCGCAAGCCUGACGGAGCAACGCCGCGUGAGUGAUGAAGGUCUUCGGAUCGUAAAACUCUGUUAUUAGGGAAGAACAUAUGCGUAAGUAACUGUGCACAUCUUGACGGUACCUAAUCAGAAAGCCACGGCUAACUACGUG
rnacentral:rRNA from 1 species